rnacentral:lncRNA from 1 species
AUUUCUUCAAGUUUCUUUGCAAAAACGAAAAUAAUACUUAAGCCAUCACUCCANCUCUGUCCAGCCACCAUAACAACACAACAAUCUGGUCCCAUCCUUGCUUCAAACAUCAAAAUCGAAAAUCAAGAAGAAAGAGCCCAAACUACAACACCCACACAUCAAGUUAAGCUCUUUUCAACCCAAAACUCACAUGGAACUCCAUUUUUAUCAUCCAACCAAAUAANAUGCAAAGAAAAACGUGAGGAACAGCAGCAAAGGGAGAGGAAAANGAAAUAUAAAGUUACUCAAACCCAACAUCCACCAUGGAAAUGCAAAGACAAGCUCCAAAGCUCAAGCUCCAAGCAUAAAAAACAAGCAAAUGGAAGUGGAAAUGAAUUGUUUUUCACCACCAANAAGCUAAGAUAACCAAGAGUNAGUUAAGAAACAAAGAAAAUCUGCAUCUUGUUCAUUGAAAUGGCUCAAAACCGAAAUCACCAAGACAAGCUCCUUCAAGGCAUGUUCAUACAAG